rnacentral:rRNA from 1 species
AUUGAACGCUGGCGGAAUGCCUUACACAUGCAAGUCGAACGGCAGCACGGGAGCAAUCCUGGUGGCGAGUGGCGAACGGGUGAGUAAUACAUCGGAACGUGCCCAAUCGUGGGGGAUAACGUAGCGAAGCUACGCUAAUACCGCAUACGAUCUACGGAUGAAAGCAGGGGAGUCGCAAGACCUUGCGCGAAUGGAGCGGCCGAUGGCAGAUUAGGUAGNGGUGGGGUAAAGGGCUCACCAAGCCUUCGAUCUGUAGCUGGUCUGAGAGGACGACCAGCCACACUGGGAC